CUAAUAAUGAUUUGAUUCUUGUCUUCUUCGUUUGUUGUUUUUGUCGUCUCCGUUUUUCUCUUUCUUCAUAAUAAUACGAUAAUUUUUGUAACAUGGG
rnacentral:ribozyme from 14 species